AGCAGGCGCGCAAAUUACCCAAUCCUGACACAGGGAGGUAGUGACAAUAAAUAACGAUACAGGGCCCUUACGGGUCUUGUAAUUGGAAUGAGUACAAUGUAAAUACCUUAACGAGGAACAAUUGGAGGGCAAGUCUGGUGCCAGCAGCCGCGGUAAUUCCAGCUCCAAUAGCGUAUAUUAAAGUUGUUGCAGUUAAAAAGCUCGUAGUUGAACUUUGGGCCUGGUCGGCCGGUCCGGAUUUUUCCGCGUACUGGUUUUUCCGACCGGGCCUUUCCUUCUGGCUAGCCCUGGGUCCUUGUGGCCCUUGGUGAACCAGGACUUUUACUUUGAAAAAAUUAGAGUGUUCAAAGCAGGCGUAUUGCUCGAAUAUAUUAGCAUGGAAUAAUAGAAUAGGACGUUUGGUUCUAUUUUGUUGGUUUCUAGGACCAUCGUAAUGAUUAAUAGGGACGGUCGGGGGCAUCAGUAUUCAGUUGUCAGAGGUGAAAUUCUUGGAUUUACUGAAGACUAACUACUGCGAAAGCAUUUGCCAAGGACGUUUUCAUUAAUCAAGAACGAAAGUUAGGGGAUCGAAGAUGAUCAGAUACCGUCGUAGUCUUAACCAUAAACUAUGCCGACUAGGGAUCGGGUGGUGUUUUUUUACUGACCCACUCGGCACCUUACGAG
rnacentral:rRNA from 1 species